rnacentral:rRNA from 1 species
GUGUGUUCCAGGUAAAUCCGGUUCACUUUAACACUGAGGCGUGAUGACGAGGCACUACGGUGCUGAAGCAACAAAUGCCCUGCUUCCAGGAAAAGCCUCUAAGCAUCAGGUAACACGAAAUCGUACCCCAAACCGACACAGGUGGUCAGGUAGAGAAUACCAAGGCGCUUGAGAGAACUCGGGUGAAGGAACUAGGCAAAAUGGUGCCGUAACUUCGGGAGAAGGCACGCUGACACGUAGGUGAAGUGAUUUACUCAUGGAGCUGAAGUCAGUCGAAGAUACCAGCUGGCUGCAACUGUUUAUUAAAAACACAGCACUGUGCAAACACGAAAGUGGACGUAUACGGUGUGACGCCUGCCCGGUGCCGGAAGGUUAAUUGAUGGGGUCAGCGCAAGCGAAGCUCCUGAUCGAAGCCCCGGUAAACGGCGGCCGUAACUAUAACGGUCCUAAGGUAGCGAAAUUCCUUGUCGGGUAAGUUCCGACCUGCACGAAUGGCGUAAUGAUGGCCAGGCUGUCUCCACCCGAGACUCAGUGAAAUUGAACUCGCUGUGAAGAUGCAGUGUACCCGCGGCAAGACGGAAAGACCCCGUGAACCUUUACUAUAGCUUGACACUGAACAUUGAGCCUUGAUGUGUAGGAUAGGUGGGAGGCUUUGAAGUGUGGACGCCAGUCUGCAUGGAGCCGACCUUGAAAUACCACCCUUUAAUGUUUGAUGUUCUAACGUGGACCCGUUACCCGGGUUGCGGACAGUGUCUGGUGGGUAGUUUGACUGGGGCGGUCUCCUCCUAAAGAGUAACGGAGGAGCACGAAGGUUGGCUAAUCCUGGUCGGACAUCAGGAGGUUAGUGCAAUGGCAUAAGCCAGCUUGACUGCGAGCGUGACGGCGCGAGCAGGUGCGAAAGCAGGUCAUAGUGAUCCGGUGGUUCUGAAUGGAAGGGCCAUCGCUCAACGGAUAAAAGGUACUCCGGGGAUAACAGGCUGAUACCGCCCAAGAGUUCAUAUCGACGGCGGUGUUUGGCACCUCGAUGUCGGCUCAUCACAUCCUGGGGCUGAAGUAGGUCCCAAGGGUAUGGCUGUUCGCCAUUUAAAGUGGUACGCGAGCUGGGUUUAGAACGUCGUGAGACAGUUCGGUCCCUAUCUGCCGUGGGCGCUGGAGAACUGAGGGGGGCUGCUCCUAGUACGAGAGGACCGGAGUGGACGCAUCACUGGUGUUCGGGUUGUCAUGCCAAUGGCACUGCCCGGUAG